UACGAAGGGGGCUAGCGUUGUUCGGAAUUACUGGGCGUAAAGGGCGCGUAGGCGGCCUCGUCCGUCCGGCGUGAAAUGCCUGGGCUCAACCUAGGAAUUGCGCUCGAUACAGCGAGGCUAGAGUGUGGGAGAGGUUGGUGGAAUUCCCAGUGUAGAGGUGAAAUUCGUAGAUAUUGGGAAGAACACCGGUGGCGAAGGCGGCCAACUGGACCACAACUGGACGCUGAGGCGCGAAAGCGUGGGGAGCAAACAGG
rnacentral:rRNA from 1 species